GGGUUGUGAGGUUAAGCGACUAAGCGUACACGGUGGAUGCCCUGGCAGUCAGAGGCGAUGAAGGACGUGCUAAUCUGCGAUAAGCGUCGGUGAGGUGAUAUGAACCGUUAUAACCGGCGAUUUCCGAAUGGGGAAACCCAGUGUGUUUCGACACACUAUCAUUAACUGAAUCCAUAGGUUAAUGAGGCGAACCGGGGGAACUGAAACAUCUAAGUACCCCGAGGAAAAGAAAUCAACCGAGAUUCCCCCAGUAGCGGCGAGCGAACGGGGAGGAGCCCAGAGCCUGAAUCAGUGUGUGUGUUAGUGGAAGCGUCUGGAAAGGCGUGCGAUACAGGGUGACAGCCCCGUACACAAAAAUGCACAUAUUGUGAGCUCGAUGAGUAGGGCGGGACACGUGGUAUCCUGUCUGAAUAUGGGGGGACCAUCCUCCAAGGCUAAAUACUCCUGACUGACCGAUAGUGAACCAGUACCGUGAGGGAAAGGCGAAAAGAACCCCGGCGAGGGGAGUGAAAAAGAACCUGAAACCGUGUACGUACAAGCAGUGGGAGCCUCUUAAUGGGGUGACUGCGUACCUUUUGUAUAAUGGGUCAGCGACUUAUAUUCUGUAGCAAGGUUAACCGAAUAGGGGAGCCGAAGGGAAACCGAGUCUUAACUGGGCGUUAAGUUGCAGGGUAUAGACCCGAAACCCGGUGAUCUAGCCAUGGGCAGGUUGAAGGUUGGGUAACACUAACUGGAGGACCGAACCGACUAAUGUUGAAAAAUUAGCGGAUGACUUGUGGCUGGGGGUGAAAGGCCAAUCAAACCGGGAGAUAGCUGGUUCUCCCCGAAAGCUAUUUAGGUAGCGCCUCGUGAAUUCAUCUCCGGGGGUAGAGCACUGUUUCGGCAAGGGGGUCAUCCCGACUUACCAACCCGAUGCAAACUGCGAAUACCGGAGAAUGUUAUCACGGGAGACACACGGCGGGUGCUAACGUCCGUCGUGAAGAGGGAAACAACCCAGACCGCCAGCUAAGGUCCCAAAGUCAUGGUUAAGUGGGAAACGAUGUGGGAAGGCCCAGACAGCCAGGAUGUUGGCUUAGAAGCAGCCAUCAUUUAAAGAAAGCGUAAUAGCUCACUGGUCGAGUCGGCCUGCGCGGAAGAUGUAACGGGGCUAAACCAUGCACCGAAGCUGCGGCAGCGACACUAUGUGUUGUUGGGUAGGGGAGCGUUCUGUAAGCCUGUGAAGGUGGCCUGUGAGGGUUGCUGGAGGUAUCAGAAGUGCGAAUGCUGACAUAAGUAACGAUAAAGCGGGUGAAAAGCCCGCUCGCCGGAAGACCAAGGGUUCCUGUCCAACGUUA
rnacentral:rRNA from 1 species